AACGCGAAGAACCUUACCGGGGCUUGAACUGCUGGUAAUCUACCUGAAAGGGCUAGUGUUCAGAUUUAUCUGAAAGCCAGUGGAGGUGCUGCAUGGCUGUCGUCAGCUCGUGUCGUGAGAUGUUGGGUUAAGUCCCGCAACGAGCGCAACCCUUGUCCUUAGUUGCUCGCCAAUCGUGGCAGCACUCUAAGGAGACUGCUGGUGAUAAACCAGAGGAAGGUGGGGAUGACGUCAAGUCCUCAUGGCCCUUACGUCCCGGGCUACACACGUGCUACAAUGGCUGGUACAACGAGUCGCAAUACCGCGAGGUGGAGCAAAUCUCUGAAAACCAGCCUUAGUUCGGAUUGCAGGUUGAAACCCGCCUGCAUGAAGUCGGAGUUGCUAGUAACCGCAAGUCAGCACAUUGCGGUGAAUACGUUCUCGGGCCUUGUACACACCGCCCGUCACGUCAUGAGAGUUGGCAACACCUGAAAUCGAUAGGCUAACCCGCAAGGGAGGCAGUCGCCUAGGGUGGGGUUGGCGAUUGGGACGAAGUCGUAACAAGGUAACCUUAAUUAAAA
rnacentral:rRNA from 1 species